CCUACGGGGUGCUGCAGUGGGGGAUAUUGCACAAUGGGGGAAACCCUGAUGCAGCGACGCCGCGUGGGUGAAGAAGUAUUUCGGUAUGUAAAGCCCUAUCAGCAGGGAAGAAAGAAGACGGUACCUGACUAAGAAGCCCCGGCUAACUACGUGCCAGCAGCCGCGGUAAUACGUAGGGGGCGAGCGUUAUCCGGAUUCACUGGGUGUAAAGGGAGCGUAGACGGCCGUGCAAGCCAGGAGUGAAAGCCCGGGGCCCAACCCCGGGACUGCUCUUGGAACUGGGCGGCUGGAGUGCGGGAGGGGCAGGCGGAAUUCCUGGUGUAGCGGUGAAAUGCGUAGAUAUCAGGAGGAACACCGGCGGCGAAGGCGGCCUGCUGGACCGCGACUGACGUUGAGGCUCGAAAGCGUGGGGAGCGAACAGGAUUAGAUACCCCAGUAGUC
rnacentral:rRNA from 1 species